rnacentral:rRNA from 1 species
GACGAGCCACACGAACGUUAUUCGGAAUUACUGGGCUUAAAGGGUGCGUAGGCGGUGCGGAAAGUUGGGUGUGAAAUCCCUCGGCUCAACCGAGGAACUGCGCCCAAAACUACCGUACUCGAGGAAGAUAGAGGUGAGCGGAACUUACGGUGGAGCGGUGAAAUGCGUUGAUAUCGUAAGGAACACCCGUGGCGAAGGCGGCUCACUGGGUCUUCUCUGACGCUGAUGCACGAAAGCUAGGGGAGCAAACGGG